rnacentral:rRNA from 1 species
GAGUGCUUGCACUCAAUUGGAAAGAGGAGUGGCGGACGGGUGAGUAACACGUGGGUAACCUACCCAUCAGAGGGGGAUAACACUUGGAAACAGGUGCUAAUACCGCAUAACAGUUUAUGCCGCAUGGCAUAAGAGUGAAAGGCGCUUUCGGGUGUCGCUGAUGGAUGGACCCGCGGUGCAUUAGCUAGUUGGUGAGGUAACGGCUCACCAAGGCCACGAUGCAUAGCCGACCUGAGAGGGUGAUCGGCCACACUGGGACUGAGACACGGCCCAGACUCCUACGGGAGGCAGCAGUAGGGAAUCUUCGGCAAUGGACGAAAGUCUGACCGAGCAACGCCGCGUGAGUGAAGAAGGUUUUCGGAUCGUAAAACUCUGUUGUUAGAGAAGAACAAGGACGUUAGUAACUGAACGUCCCCUGACGGUAUCUAACCAGAAAGCCACGGCUAACUACGUGCCAGCAGCCGCGGUAAUACGUAGGUGGCAAGCGUUGUCCGGAUUUA